UGGGAGUCUGCUCCCUGCCCUGCAGCCCUUUGUGCUGGUGACUCAGCUGUCAGGGUUGUGUCCGUCUCACCACUGGACGGUGAGUUCCUCGUGGGCCGUGCUGUGAGUAGUGACUGGUGUUCGUGUCCAGUGAUGGGGGACAGGACGCGGCGCUUGCUCAGGAAGUGCUGGUGGGGCCCAUCAGCCUGCUCUCUCCUGCCCCACGGCCCCUCAGUGCUCUUGGCCUCUGUGGUUCACCAGCUGAGGAGGGGGAUCGGUUAGGAUUCGUUUUGGCUGAAGGUAUCAGAAAACCAGACUCAGGGCCUUGAGACAAAUAGGGGUUUAUUUUUCUCAGCAGGAUGUCUGGAGGUAGGGAGCUAUGGGCAUUGAUUUCAUCAGGGAUCUAAGCUCGUGGCCACAAGGUGGCGGUCAUUGUCCUGUGUCAAAGCAAAGGGCAGUCACCAUGGCGUCUGUGGUCUUAUCAGGAGAGCAGUUUGACCAGAGCUGGGUCGCGUGCCCCCUGCCCGGCUCCUGCCCCCCGAGCUGCAAGGGGCGCUGAGAAGGAUGUCGUGGGCUCGGCUGUUGGCACUUUGGAAUUGGGGUUCUGGUUACAGGGAAGAGGGAGGGGAUGGACGUUGGGCGGACAGCCAGCUGUGUUUGCCACUCAGAUGGGCACGUGUAAAUCUGUCACCCCGCCAGGUUUCCGGUUCCUUGAGGUAGGGACUGUGUCUCUUGUAUUGUAGCCCCUCACCCAUGGCUGGUCUCUAGCACGGCCCCGACCACACAGCGGAGACCCAGAAACUGUUUGAAUUGUGUCGAACUGCACACACAGUCCUGGGUGUGGGGGGACCGAGUGAAUGAACUUCGAAUUUUCAUAGUCAGAGACACAGUAUUUAGAGUGAGCCCUCCUGUGUCCUGUCUUUGUCCCCAGAUGUAGCUCAGAUUCCAAAGGACCACAAACCAACGCACAGCCAGGUGUCUGGUCCUGGAAACUGCAAAGAAAAGAAUGCUUUUAAAUUAAUUAAUUAAUCAAUCAAUCAACGCGCAGCCCCUCUCUUGUGCGUUCUGGAAAUGCACAUCCUGUACAGCGGCCAGAUGAAGCUAUAGGAAGAGGAGGGCUUUCUGAAGGAGGGAAGUUGGAAGAGAUGGUAGGAAGGGAAGUUGCACGUGUUAAAGAUGAGAAGCAAGAAAUUGGAGAAGAAAGAGGUCGGGUGCCGUUUUGACUUCGUCACUCCCAGGCCCUCUGUGAUCCUCAAAGGGCCUGAGUUAUCCCUUCCCGGGAGGGAAACACAGCAGUCACAUGCGCAGGGGCGGUGGGGCAGGAGAGGCCAGACGGGGGGCCCCGUGUUUGCACGUCCUGGACCCCCGCUCUUGAACCGCCCUGAGGAUGGGGCCAGCAGACUGUAAGCUGGGUCACGCGACAGAAGCAGAUACCUGCGACACGCUCACGGGCCACGUGGAGGAGCGGGAGCCAGAGCUGCCUGGACAGGGCCGAGUCCUGGUCCACACUGUGCUCCAGCAAUGAGCGGUGGUCUGCUUUUCUCUCGACGGGCCCAGGGGCUGUGGUCCCCUGCUCAGCUCGACACGGCACUUGUUUGAAAGCUUCGCUCUGCAGGCCCACGAGUCUGUGGGGUGCACGUGCUCACGGACGCCGUCCGAAAUGGCUGGUCGCCUGGCUGCGGGGCGUGCCGGGGGUUGUGGACCUCUGAGCCCGUGCCAAGGGUUCUGCCCCGCGUGGCGCCGAGCGCCAUGGGCUGCUUCGCCCCGAGCGGGUUUCCAGCUUCAGCACAGAAAGCGAGGGAGUGCAUUAUUGGUGUGGCAGAGCUGGAACAGAGUACCGUGGGCUGGGCCGCUACAGCUGACAUUUACUUCUCGUGGUUCCGGAGGCUGAGAAGUUCAGGGUCAAGGCACCGACGGCAGAUUCCGCAGAUUCCGUACCUGGUGAGGUUCAUAGACGGCGCCUUCCUACUGCGCUCCAGCGGCUGAGGGGGCGAGGCGCUCCCUGGGCCUCUUUGUCGGGGCACUAAUCCCAUCCAGGGGGACCCCACCUUGUGAUCUAAGCACCUCCUACAGCCCCCACCUCUGAACCGUCACCCUGGGAGUCGGGAUUUAGCCUAGGCCCUCUGGGGACACAAACAGUCUAUGGCAGCUUUCCCGCUCAAUGAGACGCAGCACUGUGUGGUCACCGCACAGCACCACCCUGCCCUCCUCAGGGAGGAAGGCCCCUGUUUGUGAAGGUCUUCCCCACAGGUUCCUCGCUGGUUCCGUGCUGCCCUAAGCGAUCGGCAGAGCGGCCCCAUUUUGCAGAUGAGGAAACUGAGACUCACGGGAAGAGGAGGGCCUGCCUGAGGGUUCUAGAAGUAAGAACAACCACAUUAUAGAAAAGUCAGCAGCCGUGAUGGCCAGUCGCCUUGCCCCCCGUCUCUGGCCUCUUGGGGGACAGAAGAGUGUGGAAAACAAGCAUGUGGGCUUUGGGGUCACAUCAGGUUGUGGCCACGCUUUGCCAUUUACUGGCAGAGUGACCCGGGCAGUUUUUUUUCCCCAAACUUCUUUCGGCAUUAGUUUCCCCACCUGUAAAAUGGGUCUAAUGGUGCUUGCCUCCACCUGGCUUUGGGAAGCAGUCCCGUGAGGAGUGGUCCGUGCAGUGCAGCAGGCUUGCCCUGGUGCUGGUGCGGGCCUCCAUCACUGCCUUUCCCAGUGGAGCCUACCCACCUCUCUCCGCGGUGGCAGCAAGGGUGCAGAAGCCACUUGUCACCCCGAUCCAGUUAAUAUCACCUCAUGCGCCUUUCCCACCUUGCUGCAGUCUUCGUAACCAUCAUUUUUAAUGGCUGUGUAACGUUUUGAGAAUGAUCUUUACUUAAAAUUGUUAUUAAAAUUGUGUGUCUGUCUAAAUCAACAUUUAAUUUAUGUGCUUAGUCAAAAUCUAGACAUAUUUAACAGUGUUCAAAAUACAUACUAUAAACGCACUGACAGAAACGUCGUUCCUUGAGAUUCUGCAGGAGGGGGAGUUGAGAGAGCACUUAAAGUUUGGGAACCGGUGAUGUUCAUUCGUAUCUUUUGUUUACUAGUUUUUUUUUAAUUGAAAAAGCUACAUCAUGCAAUGUUAAAAAGUUCAAGUGGUCGCUAAGGGCUUACAUGAUGACAAGUAAAUCUCCGUCCCCAGGCCAGUGGCUCCCCUCCUGUUUCUUACCUCCGUUCAUAAGUGCUCUGUGUUUAUUCAAGUGACUGUAUGGAUGGGUGUGUGUACGUUGCCCCCCCAACCCCCGUUCUCCGUAAAAUACAAAUGGAAGCGUAUUAGUCUCAUGGGCUUCUUUUCUCACUUUCUGCGCGUUGGAGAGCCUGAGAAUAGGUGAUACUUAGCAUAGUCAUCAUUUUAUUCACUCGUGUCAACCUGGCAUACAAAUCAGCAAACUCUGAAGUAAAAUAUUCUUUUUAAAAAAAUUGAGGUGAGAUUCAUAUAACAUACGAUGAACCAUUUUAAGCUGCACGGAUCAGUGGUAGUUGGUGCAUUCACAGUGUUGUGCAGUCACCUAAAGGUUGUGCCCCACCUAAAAUAUUCUUAAUGAAAACAGAACAUCCUCAU